UAGCUAACUUGCUCUUAAGUCGGGAAUAACCUUGGAAAACUGAGGAUAAUGCCUGAUAGGAGAUACUGCCUGGAAUGGUUUAUCUCCCAAAGCUUCGGCGCUUAAGAAUAGGGCUGCGGUGGAUUAAGCUGAUGUCAGGGUAAAAACCUGACAUACUUAUAAUCUAUAGGGGCUGUGAGAGCAGUAGCCUCCAGAUGGGUUCUGAGACACUAACCCAGAUCCUACGGGAUGCAGCAGUCGCGAAACCUCCGCAAUGCACGCAAGUGUGACGGGGGAACCCUGAGUGCUGGCACUUUGUGUCAGCUUUUAUAGAGUCUAAUGCGCUCUAUGAAUAAGUGGUGGGUAAGACCGUUGCCAGCCGCCGCGGUAAUAACGGCACCACAAGUGGGGAUCACGAAUAUUGGGUCUGAAGCAUCCGUAGCCGGUUUGUUAAGUCUCUUGUGAAAUCCUGUAGAAAACUACAGGGCGUGCAAGAGAUACUGGCAAACUUGGGACUGGGAAGAGUUAGAGGUACUUUUAGGGUAGGGGUAAAAUCCUGUAAUCCUAAAGGGACCACCUGUGGCGAAGGCGUCUAACUGGAACGGGUCCGACGGUGAGGGAUGAAAGCUAGGGGAGCAAAGCGGAUUAGAUACCCGCGUAGUCCUAGCUGUAAACGAUGCCCGUUAGGUAUUGGAAAUCUUUCGUGGAUUUUCAGUGCCGUAGGGAAGCCAUUAAACGGGCCACCUGGGAAGUAUAGUCGCAAGGCUGAAACUUGAAGGAAUUGGCGGGAGAGCAC
rnacentral:rRNA from 1 species